GCCUGGACGUAACACGGCACCGCCCCGCCCGCCAAAUAACUACGAGUGAAAACUUAAAACUUAAAGGACUUGACGGUACUUCACACCCAACCUAGAGGAGCCUGUCUACUAACCGAUAAUCCACGAUUAACCCAACCACUUCUAGCCCCCCAGCCUAUAUACCACCGUCGCCAGCCUACCUUGUAAAAGAAACAAAGUAAGCCAAACAGUACUACACUAACACGACAGGUCAAGGUGUAACUAAUGAAGCGGACUAAGAUGGGCUACAUUCUCUACCCCAGAUUAUACGAACAAGGCUAUGAAACUAACCUUUAAAGGCGGAUUUAGCAGUAAGCUGAGAACAAAAUACUCAACUGAAACCAAUGCAAUGAAGUGCGU
rnacentral:rRNA from 1 species